UUGAUCAUGAUACUAAACGAAUCGCAUGGCCUUGAGCCGGCGAUGGUUCAUUCAAAUUUCUGCCCUAUCAACUUUCGAUUGGUGAGUAGUGUUCACCAAUGGUGUCGACGGGUAACGAAGAAAUUAGGGUUCGAUCUCGGAAGGACGCCUGAGAAACGGCGUGCACAUCCAAGGAAGGCAGCAGGCGCGCAAAAAUUACCCAAUCCCGAUACGGGGAGGUAGUGACAAUAAAUACUGAUGCAGGGCUCUUUUGGGUCUUGCAAAUUGGAAUGAGUACAAUUUAAACCCCUUAACGGGGAACAAUUGGAGGGCAAGUCUGGUGCCAGCAGCCGCGGUAAUCCCAGCUCCAAAUAGCGUAUAUAAGGUUGUUGCAGUUAAAAAGCUCGUAAGUUGAACCUUGAGCCUGGCUUGGCCCGGUCCGCCUCACCGCGUGGCCACUGGUCCCGGCCGGGUUUUUCCUUCCUGGGGAGCCGCAUGCCCCUUCACUGGGUGUGUCGGGGAAACCAGGACUUUUACUUUGAAAAAAUUAGAGGUGUUCCAAAGCAGGCCUAUGCUCGAAUACUUGGCAUGGAAUAAUAGAAUAGGACGGUGUGGUUCUAUUUUGUGGGUUACUAGGACCGCCGGUAAUGAUUUAAUAAGGGAUAGUCGGGGGGCAUCAGGUAUUCAAUUGUCCAGAGG
rnacentral:rRNA from 1 species